rnacentral:lncRNA from 1 species
GAUACAACAGGAAAGACCUUUGAGUUAAGUUGCAUCCUUCUUUGUGAAAAUACAGCUAAAGAAAAACUCAGAAAAUACAACUAAAAAACUCAGACAACUUCAUAAAAUACAGCUAAAGAAAAACUCAGAGAAGUAUUUCCUCUGAGCACAGACAUUGAUUCUUUAAGACUAUUACUCUAUGUAUGGGACUCAGUUUAAAAAUUUGGACAUAACUUGCACUUAAACAUGAGAGAAGCUAUCUAAGAAAGAACCAUUACGAAUAUAAUGAGGAUGCUACAUUUCAUCCCAAUUUAUAAUCAUCUGACCUCAGGAUAACCAGUGUGAAAAGUCUUUCAUCAUAAAUUCAACUUUGUUAGAUAUCUGAGAAUUAUUGGAGAGAAACCAUCUGCAUAUAUUGAACGUGGGAAAGCUUUCAUCCAUGUCACAUGUCAAGAGAUACUAAGG